AGCAAUUAGAUUUGGGCCGGGUCCGUUUUCAAGUCAGCAGAUCCGCAUAGCAGUCACAGUCAUUUUGCCGAUCAGCGGCAGCUCCGAUCCGGACCAGUAGUUUGACAGUCAGUUUUGAAGGCUCCUGGCGGAGGCGGGCCAGAUAAGCAAUCCGGACGCGCCAUAAUAAAAUAAUUCAGUCCGAUUUGAAGGCGCGUGGCGGGUGCGGGCCACAUAAAGCAAUCCGGACGCGCGAAAACUGAAUUUGUUCCCCAACUGUCACUUUGGAACCCUCAGAGAGAGAGACCGUUCUUCAGUUUACCUCAGCUGAACUCAACUAUCCGCCUGUGUCGCGUCUCGUCCAACACUGCACUGUCGUGACUUGAUCAUUCAAUGAUGAAUUGUACGGUAGGUUCAGCCAUUCCUUGAUCGACCUGACACCAGCAUUAGGCCUACUCGAUGUGUAUGAAGCAAGCUGCCUCUGCAUCAAGUGAGGGAAGAAGCCGCCAGUGAAAAGCUUUUCGGACUGUCAUUUGAAGGACACAAAUGAAAGGACAGGAAUUCUGCUCUGCGGCGUUGGUCUCACUAUUUAUUCAAGAAGCCCUUGGACACCACCAGAAUGUAUGAAAAUUGCAAACAGUAGGCACAGUCAUUCCUUGAUCGACCUGGCAUCAACAUCGCUCGAUGUGUAUAAAGCUGCAAGUGAGAGAAGAAGCCGCCACUGAACACCUUUUUGGACUGUCAUGACUGAAAUGAAAGGACAGGACUUCUACUCUGCUGGGUCGGCCUCACUACAUAUUCAAGAAGCCCUCGGACGUCAUCAGAAUGUACUAAUGUGAAGAGGCAACAAGGGAGAGAUGAACGCUAUCAAAAAUGUGGAGAUGGAUCUGGCAGCCGACCGCUUUGGCACACACCCAACAAGAAACAAAACAAUAAAGAAUACUAAAAUGCAUAA